UACAUCCCACUGCAACACUAGUGGAAUUCAUUGUUGCAAUCUGAUUCAGCUGCAUAUAUACUGUAUAAAAAUUUCAUAGCCUCAUGAGUAUGAGGCUUGCUCAUUACAACAAGGUGACCUUGCUAGAAAUAUGCCCUAUGACCUUUUUCUUUUCUUUUUGAAGUCAAAUAAAUAAAUAAAUACACCAAAAAUAAACAAACAACAAAUAAACAAACAGAGUAGUAGAACAAAUGUUGGAAUCAGUGGAACAAACUUACCCCUAGGUAAGGAUAUCCAGUGUGACAUAACUGAGAGGUAUAUUCAGAGGGCAAAAGACCUUUUCUGGUCUUCUGUUCUGAUUGUGAUACAUUCCUUUCCUGACAUAAGGUUGUGGACUAUAUUUGUUUCCCUCUGCCCUUUUAGUACCUAGGCUUGUUUUUAUCUCUGUCCCAGAAUCAGAGUUCAUGACACCACACAUUACAACUGAAUGAUACCACAUGACAUCUGAUCAUACAGCACACUGGGGCUGUUUCUCUGAUACUCUACAUUACACCUCCAGAUAUGCUUACAUUUUAAAAAUUUAUAUUUUAUUUUAUUUAUUUUUUAUUUUUAUUUUUUUACUGUGUCUUCAAUCUGAGCUGACUAAGCCCAAGUCAAGUUCAGGCUAUGGGUGGCAUCUGUUUUGGUGGCCUCACACUUUGAUCUGCACAAUAGAGCAGGUAAUAAACUGUUUUAGUACAUCUCUACCCUAUCCAGGAAGCUCAGAGGACAAUGAAGAGUGUCUUGAUCACAGUUCAUCUGAGGUAGAAGAUCACUUAGCUUUUCUUCACAGGACUGCAGCUGAGAUCCACCGCUCCCAGGAGAUGGUCGGUGAUACAAGGUAAGUGACUCCCAGGAGGGCAUCCCACAGAUUUACAUCAAUUAGUAUUUUCAGUUGCAGAAAUAUCUCAUAGAUCAUGAAGAGGAGUUAAAGGAAAAAAAAAAAAGCCCUUCCUCAAGAUUCGUUAAUGUCCCCUUUGAAUUACCCUGAAGGACUAUGAAGCUGUAAUGGAGAACUAUGACCAUGGAAGAGACAGUGCUGUUGCCUCUGUAUACUCCUGAGGCCACCCAGGCAUAUUUCCAUAAGUUUAACAUGGUUCAAGGUUCUUAUAUUUAGACAAGGUACAGUGUAUUACUCUCUCCAAGGCAAAUAACCUUCCCAACCCUCCAAGGUUUAAAAAUGGACAGUUUAUUUUACAGUUUAAUAGUAUGACAAAUUUUGAGUUGAAGACUGUUCACUGCCAGGUAGAGGCAGUCAAAGAAUGUGUAGACAGAGGCAGAGAUAAUCACAAAUGCAUAGUCCUCCAGAAGGAAUUUCUAUCAUACCAAAAAAAUUAAGAACCAGAAAUUUUGUGCUCCUCUGUUUGAAAAGUCCCUAGUGCUAAUCCGAAGUGGGUAAGGGUGAAAAAAAGUUAAGGUAGGGAAAUGUUCAAGUAAAAAUGUGUCCAAGUUCAAGCAAAAAUAAUACACUUCUAAAUUUUGUAUUUUUUACUUUCACAGAGUCUUCCAUUAUUUCAUUUGGCCUCACUCAAUUGUUGUUUGUAUGUUAUAUAGGUAGAGAUUUCACCCCUGAAUACUGAAGAAAAGGAGAAGAAAGAAAAAGUCUGUUGGAGAAGUACCAAAUUACAUAUCGUUCAGAAGUGAAACAAUCUUUGCUGGUUUUAGAAAGCAGCUCUAUUGCAAAUAUCGUUGUGGUAUACGUUUACCCUCCUAGACUUCUUUUAUACCAUUUCCCUAGAAGGUAGCAAAACACACUGGUGCUUUGGAUAAAUAGAAACCCAGAACAGAUAGAAUAAGUAGCAUGGUCAUGGUUAUACAGAAGAUAUGUGGCUAAGCAGGAGCUUGAAUAAGGAUCUCAGCAUUACAGCUCUGCUAAUCUGAAUACCUCUGCUUUCUGCGACAGCAGACAGACAGGCAUCAAUGAAGUAAACUGGAGAUACAACAUAUUAAACAGAGUCUGCAUGGGCUCAAGCUAGGGAAAUCAAUUGCUUAAACUGUUGAAAGCAGAGAGAUAAUAUAGGCAAAAUCUUCACUUUAAUUAUUAACUGCUUUCAGCUUUUUAUUUUUUUUAUUUUUUUAUCAGAAUGGAGGAAAGGGGAAAAAAAAAAAGAAAAGAAAAAGAUUUAUCAGAACUGAGUGAUCAAAAAGAUUAUUUCUUUUUUUCUUCCUAAGAAAAGCUGCAACAAUUCUUCAUCAAUUAUAAACCAAGAAAGACAGGGGCAAGAAGAACACUUUGCAUGCAGGCCUCCCGCGCUUCCCCCCCUUCCCCCCUUCCUUUUCUGUCCCCCUCUCCCCCCCCCCCCCCCCCCCCCGUUCUUCCUUUGGUCUCUUUGCUCUUUUGCUCCUUCCUCAACCAAGAGCAGUUCUGCCACUGUGAAUACAUACCUGGUGUACAGCAAUGGUUCAUGGUUAGGUGAUUUUGAUCUGUGCUUUUUAUCUGGGGGGGGGGGGGCGGGGAAGGAGGCUGCGUGGUCUCCAUGCAGAUAUAGGAAGAACUUUCUGCUUCUGUGGUCUUUUGCCUCUGAGGGCAUACUACUAUGCCCAGCCUCUGGAACCAUGACACGCACACAAUUCACACCACUCAGUAUUGAGAUUUAAUGACCGAUAUUAAUAGUAGUCAGUUAAAAGGGAGGGAAAGUGUCUUUAAAGAUCUGAAGAUGAGUUCUCUUCCUUCUGCCUGCACCACGACUGCUUUCAAUUCUGCUGAGGAACUAGUCUACUCUUUCUCAGUCCAAACCUCCCUUUUCUUCUCUUUUCUUCCUUUUCUCCCUUUUCUUUCUUUUCUUUUGCUUUUGAGUUCUCAUUUCUUUUCUCUCUUUUUUUUUUUUUUUAUCUUCUACCUCUUUGUUCCUCUUCUCUGUGGACCUCACUGCAAAGAUCAGAUUUCUUUUGUUUUUGCCACUUUCAUUUUCACUUUCUAAAACUCAUUAUUUCUUUUGAUGACCAGCAUUCAUCCUUCUAAUAAUUCAGAUAUAAAGAAAGAGUAUGUAAAGAGAAUAGCUAAUAACUUCCCCUCAUAAUGUUUCAGUCUGCAAUAGGAGCUGACAUCCUCAUGAGGGCAUGGUAACAAGUUUUGGAGAAACUUGUGAGGGACCUGCCAUGGAAAUUAACAGGAAAGAUGGUAGCCACAAAGAAAAGAAAAACAAAUUCUUCCCUGGGCUGGUGACAGCCCCUUAACUCAUUUGUGUUUUCUUCUCAAAGGCACAACUGAAAAAAGCCUACAGAUGGGAAAAUGGGAUGCAAGGAUUGAUGUUUGAAUAUCAUGAAAAUGGACCAGAUCCUCAGCUGGCAUAAAUCAACACAGCCCCACAGGAAUCAAUGCAGCAAUGCCAAUUUACACCACAUGAAGACCCAGCCCAAUAAAUCUAUCAUGCUCUGGAUAAAGGGGUGAAUG
rnacentral:lncRNA from 1 species